rnacentral:snoRNA from 2 species
AACUAAACAGUCGAUGAGGAAAGGCUAUAGUUAAUUCAUCCGUUGCAGUAUUUGACUCGGCAACUUUGGUGUGUUUUCGGAUACACCGAGGUUCUGGGCGCUGUGGAGAGCAUUGUGGCCUUUUUACCACCUUGACAAUGCUUAAUUGAGUUCUGAGGCUG